AGGAUCAUUAAUGAAAUUAUAAUCCGGCGAGGGAAAGGCGGGGAGUUGUAGCUGGCCCUAGGGCAUGUGCACGCUCUCUUCUGGACUUUCGCCGUAUGGGCGCGGGGCGACCCGCGUCUUCAUAUACCUCUUCGUGUAGAAAGUCUUUGAAUGUUAUCAUCAUCAUCGAGUCGCGACUUCUAGGAGACGCGAUUCUUUGAGACAAAAGUUAUUACAACUUUCAGCAACGGAUCUCUUGGCUCUCGCAUCGAUGAAGAACGCAGCGAAUCGCGAUAUGUAAUGUGAAUUGCAGAUCUACAGUGAAUCAUCGAAUCUUUGAACGCACCUUGCGCUCCUCGGUGUUCCGAGGAGCAUGCCUGUUUGAGUGUCAGUAAAUUCUCAACCCCUCUCGAUUUGCUUCGACAGGGUGCUUGGAUGUUGGGGGCUGCCGGAGACACUGGACUCGUCCAGGACUCGGGCUCCUCUUAAAUGAAUCGGCUUGCGGUCGACUUUCGACUUUGCAUGACAAGGCCUUUGGCGUGAUAAUGAUCGCCGUUCGCCGAAGUGCAAGACAGAACGGUCCCGUGCCUCUAAUGCGUCGACGCCUCUCGGGGCCGUCUUCCUCAUUGACGUUUGACCUCAAAUCAGGUAGGACUACCCGCUGAACUUAAGCAUAUCAAUAAGCGGAGGA
rnacentral:rRNA from 1 species